UCCAUCAAAAUGAGAUGUCUAAAAGCAUCUAUGUCAAUAUCAGUGCUCAACAGAAAUCCACCUCAUCUUCCAUCUGGCAGAACCAGUCACCUGGUACCUGUGUGGCUGAUGUCAUCACAUUUCCUGCUGAAUAGAGGACUUUAUAGGGAAUGAGACACUCCAAGAUAUCUCUACUCUUGUACUCUGGAACAAACAUUUGCUCGGCAUUUGCUCAGCUUCGGAAGCCGAAAGGCAGAUUUCAAAGCUUUCCUGUUCUUCCAUUGAAGUCCCUCAAGGUUGAGAAGGGCAACUAGAAUCUCCAUGCAUUGAAGCACAGCUCUUCCAGGGCAGUCGCUGUGACAGAGAGAGCGAAUGGGCACAAACAAGAAGGGAUUCGCAGACAAUGGACUGAGACACAUUUUCUAUCUUCUUGUCUCAGACUGGCAUAAAAUGUUCUUAGCGUUUUCCUGAUGAUGCAUCCUCAUAAUGGCUUAUUUGGACACCUGCUGUGAAUGGCAAGCUUGAGUGUCUCUGAGUGGCUUCUCAAACAAUUAUACUAUUUCCUCUGU